rnacentral:rRNA from 1 species
AGGACGAACGCUGGCGGCGUGCUUAACACAUGCAAGUCGAGCGGUAAGGCCCUUUCGGGGGUACACGAGCGGCGAACGGGUGAGUAACACGUGGGUGACCUGCCCUUAGCUCUGGGAUAAGCCUGGGAAACUGGGUCUAAUACCGGAUAUGACCUCGCGAUGCAUGUCGUGGGGUGGGAAGCCUUGUGCGGCUAGGGGAUGGGCCCGCGGCCUAUCAGCUUGUUGGUGGGGUGAUGGCCUACCAAGGCGACGACGGGUAGCCGGCCUGAGAGGGCGACCGGCCACACUGGGACUGAGACACGGCCCAGACUCCUACGGGAGGCAGCAGUGGGGAAUCUUGCGCAAUGGGCGAAAGCCUGACGCAGCGACGCCGCGUGAGGGAUGACGGCCUUCGGGUUGUAAACCUCUUUCAGCCCUGACGAAGCGAAAGUGACGGUAGGGCGAGAAGAAGCACCGGCCAACUACGCGCCAGCAGCCGCGGUAA